UUGACCUACGGGGGGCAGCAGUGGGGGAUAUUGCACAAUGGGGGAAACCCUGAUGCAGCGACGCCGCAUGUGGGAAGACGGUCCUCUGGAUUGUAAACCACUGUCCCCAGGGACGAAAAUGACGGUACCUGGGGAGGAAGCUCCGGCUAACUACGUGCCAGCAGCCGCGGUAAUACGUAGGGAGCGAGCGUUGUCCGGAAUUACUGGGUGUAAAGGGAGCGUAGGCGGGGAUGCAAGUUGGGUGUCAAAACUACCGGGCCAACUGG
rnacentral:rRNA from 1 species